GACAGAGGAUGCAAGCGUUAUCCGGAAUGAUUGGGCGUAAAGAGCUCGUAGGCGGUUUGUCGCGUCGUCCGUGAAAACUCACAGCUUAACUGUGAGCUUGCGGUCGAUACGGGCAGGCUAGAGUUCGGUAGGGGAGACUGGAAUUCCUGGUGUAGCGGUGAAAUGCGCAGAUAUCAGGAGGAACACCGGUGGCGAAGGCGGGUCUCUGGGCCGAUACUGACGCUGAGGAGCGAAAGCGUGGGGAGCGAACAGG
rnacentral:rRNA from 1 species